GCCUGGGUGGCUCAGUCGGUUAAGCAUCCGACUUAAGCUCAGGUCAUGGUCUCACGGUUCGUGGGUUUGAGUCCUGCAUCAGGCU
rfam:Felis catus isolate Cinnamon breed Abyssinian chromosome D2, whole genome shotgun sequence.